AUUGAACGCUGGCGGCAGGCCUAACACAUGCAAGUCGAGCGAGCGGCGGACGGGUGAGUAAUGUAUGGGGACUGCCCGAUAGAGGGGGAUAACUACUGGAAACGGUGGCUAAUACCGCAUACUAUCGGAUAACCCAUAUGGGAUUAGCUAGUAGGUGGGGUAAAGGCUCACCUAGGCGACGAUCUCUAGCUGGUCGGAGAGGAUGAUCAGCACCACGGGGCCGCAGACAGGGCCCAGACUCCAAGGGAGGCAGCAGGGUGGAAUAUUGCACAAUGGGCGCAAGGCCGCUGCAGCCAUGCGGCGUGUAUGAAGAAGGCCUUAGGGUUGUAAAGUACUUUCAGCGGGGAGGCGUUACCCGCAGAAGAAGCACCGGCUAACUCCGUGCCAGCAGCCGCGGUAAUAC
rnacentral:rRNA from 1 species